AGGUCGCUUGUGUAAGUGCUGCUCUCAAGGACACCAAGUUUGGCGCGUAAGGGCGCAAAGAUCUUUUUGACUUGUUGUCAAGACAACUUGCUCGACGGUCCGAUUUUCCUCAUGCUAUACAUCUGCUAAAACCCUGUGCAUCUGCUAUGAGGCCAGAUGUUCGUAAAGUUGUUGAACCAUGCUUUAGUGAAAUAUUCAGGGUUUGUGGACGUGAAAUGUCAUGUGACACAAGUUUUG